UACCCGCAGCACAAGUGGUGGUCAUUAUUAUUGGGCCUAAAGCGUCCGUAGCUGGCGUGUUAGAUGCCUGGGUAAAUCGAUGCGCUUAACGUAUCGAAUUCCGGGUAGACCGGCACGCUCGAGACCGGGAGAGGUGUAGGGUACUCGGGGGGUAGGGGUAAAAUCCUGUAAUCCUCCGGGGACGACCAGUGGCGAAGGCGCUACACUAGAACGGCUCUGACAGUGAGGGGCGAAGCCCUGGGGCGCAAACCGG
rnacentral:rRNA from 1 species